CACAGAGAGCUUGCUCUCGGGUGACGAGCGGCGGACGGGUGAGUAAUGUCUGGGAAACUGCCUGAUGGAGGGGGAUAACUACUGGAAACGGUAGCUAAUACCGCAUAAUGUCGCAAGACCAAAGUGGGGGACCUUCGGGCCUCAUGCCAUCAGAUGUGCCCAGAUGGGAUUAGCUAGUAGGUGGGGUAACGGCUCACCUAGGCGACGAUCCCUAGCUGGUCUGAGAGGAUGACCAGCCACACUGGAACUGAGACACGGUCCAGACUCCUACGGGAGGCAGCAGUGGGGAAUAUUGCACAAUGGGCGCAAGCCUGAUGCAGCCAUGCCGCGUGUGUGAAGAAGGCCUUCGGGUUGUAAAGCACUUUCAGCGGGGAGGAAGGCGGUGAGGUUAAUAACCUCAUCGAUUGACGUUACCCGCAGAAGAAGCACCGGCUAACUCCGUGCCAGCAGCCGCGGUAAUACGGAGGGUGCAAGCGUUAAUCGGAAUUACUGGGCGUAAAGCGCACGCAGGCGGUCUGUCAAGUCGGAUGUGAAAUCCCCGGGCUCAACCUGGGAACUGCAUUCGAAACUGGCAGGCUAGAGUCUUGUAGAGGGGGGUAGAAUUCCAGGUGUAGCGGUGAAAUGCGUAGAGAUCUGGAGGAAUACCGG
rnacentral:rRNA from 1 species